UACGUAGGAGGCAAGCGUUGUCCGGAAUUACUGGGUGUAAAGCGCGUGUAGGCGGCAGGCCAAGUCUGUGGUGAAAUCGCUCGGCUCAACUGGGCGGGGUCCAUGGAAACUGGUCAGCUGGAGGACGGUAGAGGUGAGUGGAAUUCCCGGUGUAGUGGUGAAAUGCGUAGAGAUCGGGGAGAACACCCGUGGCGAAGGCGGCUCUCUGGGACGGUACUGACGCUGAGACGCGAAAGCGUGGGGAGCGAACAGG
rnacentral:rRNA from 1 species